AUAUUUUGUUUACGGUCAGUUUCCGGUCGGCCGGUAUUCCUUUAAAAAUUAUAACAUCGGGUCACAGUGAUCGGGUGUCGGGUGGUCUAGUGGUGGCCAUUGCCGCUACGGAAUGAGUUUAUCUGGCUGUUCCCGAUAAACGUUAAUAGUGAUAAAUAAUUUCAGUGCGGGCACGUGAUCUACGUCUUAAAACGUUGUUAAGACAUCGUGGCCACGUAUUUCUGAAGAUUCGGUGACUGAGAAUUAGUCCAAGAGGCAGGAUAUUAGUAUCUCCAGUACGGGGCGUGCUGAGCGGCACAGUGACGAGGAAAACGGCAGUGUGGCCCCCUGACCGUGCGCCUCUGCCCGGGCGCAGAUCUGCCCCCAGCGUGUGCAGGGUGUCCGUGAAGGAAUGUCCCAGCUGCAAACUUCAAUCCUCAACCUUGUCGACAGGGGUGAUGUGCUCCUACAACAUCCACGGGGACUCCUCGGCCGGCUGGAAGCAGUAAGCGGCCUGGAGGCUCAACGCCUCAUUGUGAGUGACUCAUCCUCACUUUCACGUUAUCGACGAGCAACAAAGCUUUGACUUCAUCGGGAGAAACCUUCUAAACAUCCUCCUGGAAUCGACUCACUUCAGACGAGAGUUUGUCGCCGGAGAAAGCGGAGGACGCUCCUGGGAAAUAAAAACAAGUUGACGUGAAUCCCUCCACUGGAACACUGGUUGUGUGCGUCGACGUUCGCAGUCUCCCAGAAACGAGAACUUUCUGCAGUUGGUUGCGACUGCCACAGAGUGUAUGCAGCAGUCACUCUUCAUUCCAGGAAGGUUUUUUUUUUUUAAUUUUCUUCUUGAUUCUUGGAAAUGUUUCCUAAACAAAUUAAUUUUCUCUUCUGCCUUAGAUCUAGUUUUUUUUAGUUGUAAUUUCAGUAUGAUAUUUUUUAAAAUUUAUUGUGGUGAAGCAAUGCAGUUGAAAAUGGAUCUGUUAAAAUUAUUUUUGCGAGAUGUUAUUUAUGGGAUCUAUAUGUCAACCAUGUGUAAAAUUCGUCACAUUUUGUGACUUCUAAACAACAGAGUUAGUAACUUUUAAGACACAUGCUGCAUAGUUAUGAAAACUUGGAUAAACAGUAUAUACACAAAUUCAGAGAAUUAUAUAUAUAUGUGUGUGAAGUAUAUUUUUGUAUGAUGUACAGGGAAACAUUGCUAAUCGUACUAUGACACAUUGUUAAACAUAAUGAUUGAUACAGCCAAUUGUGUUUUCCAUGAAAGUGCCUGACAAUGUAUUCAAAAUUGCAGUCUUUAGUGAAGCAAAAAAAAAAAACUAUUAUGUUGGCACAAUUUUAAAAGGAUAUUAUUAAAUUAUUAAUAUUAAACAUGAAAUUGUGUUUUGUUAUGUCAAAAUGCUUGAAGUUUUGUUUAAUAGCAGAGUUGUGAAGUUUAGUGAUAAGCUGGUAUAUGAGUUAUUUGCUAAGCCCUUGCACUGCCUGUGGUGGAUCCCCCACCAUUUGCUAACAUUACUUUUGUAUAGUGUUUGGUGCGCCAACUUUUUAUCAUUAAAUUUGCAUUGAAAAAAUAUCACAAAAUGGUAGAUGAUACCAUACUAGUCUUCUAAUGACUAAUGAAUGGGUCAGUAACUGAACUGGUUUAUUUGAUUGACAUGUAUAUUUAAAUGUUGUCAAUGGAAACUUUUGUGUUCUUUUUGCAAGAUUGAAUUUGAAUAUCGUUUAAAUUUCAAUAAGCAGUUUGGUUAGAAUUUCUGACAGCUUAGUAACACAUGUUUACAAUAUCAAAUAUUUUUCUAAUCAAAAUGUACAGUGUAACUAUGUCUCCAACAAGUCAAAGAAAUUAUUUUUUGCAAAAAAGCUGUUAAAUUUAAAAAAAAAUUAUUACAUAUAAAAAGUGUGUUUGUAUGUAUUAUGCUUGCAGAAAACACAUCCACAUUUCAGAAUAUCUUCUCAACUUAAUACUUGCUACAAUUUGGUCAUUUAGAUUUUGUGUGUUAGUUCGCAUUUGCUUUAUUAAUAGGCAACAGAUAAUGUGAAAAAUUAUUAGAUUCGUCUAGUUGAAUAUUUAACUAUUAAAUUUAAUACAUUUUGUAAAAUUGCAGACACCUGAAUGAAGUGUACCAAAACUGUUUGUUCUGUUUGGUAUUGCAUUACCUGAAAAUUUUUUUUAUGUAAUUAUAUUUUAAACAUAUGUUGUUGGCAUGCAUGUAAUGAUGCUAAGCAGGAAUGUUUGGAAAAUGUUUUUCAUCCAUAGCAGUAUUUGCUAUAGUACAUUGUGGUUGUGCUUAAAACACAGGAAGGAAAACCAUAAAAAUAAAUGACCAUACAACUGAAGCCAUUACUGCUAAUAAUAAUAAUGACCAUUGCCAUUUUAAAACAUAAACAGGAAAAGCAGAUGUAUGUGAUUCUUGCAGGAGAUAAAUACAGGUGGCCAUCUUUAACUUGCCGUUUUGGCCCUAUGCGCAGUUUGGCUCUCCGAUGAUUCUAGAUAGGAGACCCAGACUCAAAAAGUAUAAAAAUGUAAAAUUUAAAACUUGUCAAGUCCAUUAUGUAACUAGUAAAUGAUAAUAAUCAUACUUUCAAAAAUAAUGGGCAAGCUGCAGAUGGCAACUUGUCUCGACCAAAUAUAAUAGAAAUAAUUUGAAACAUUUAUUCUCUAGCAAGCAAAAUAACACAAACUGUAUUGUAUGUAAAAUUUAAUUAAAUGUUAUUUUAUGUAAUGACAAAUAUUUCUUUAUUAGUUGGAACCAGUGGUACUGUAUUUAUUGUGAAUUUCUAUAUAUACUAGAAGCAAAAAUAAAAUUUGUUUGGACAGAAAAUUCAUUUUGUCUUAUU